UACGGAGGGUGCAAGCGUUAUCCGGAUUCACUGGGCUUAAAGGGCGCGUAGGCGGCCUGUUAAGUCGGACGUGAAAUCCCUCGGCUCAACCUGGGAACUGCGUCCGAUACUGGCGGGCUUGAAUUCGGGAGAGGGAUGUGGAAUUCCAGGUGUAGCGGUGAAAUGCGUGGAUAUCUGGAGGAACACCGGUGGCGAAGGCGGCAUCCUGGACCGACACUGACGCUGAGGCGCGAAAGCUAGGGUAGCAAACGGG
rnacentral:rRNA from 1 species